GGUACAUUACAUUCAGAAAAUACUCCCCCCAAGUGACAACCAGAUCGUCCCUGGCCUACCAGGUAGGUAGACAGGUAAGCCAUCCAAUCAUUUAAUUUGGCCUGAAAUUACAGGCCUGCAAUAUACCUUUUUUUUUUUCUUUUGUGUAUUCGAUAUAUUUUUUUUUUUGACUACCCCAGCUUUAACAUUUCAUCACUUCAAUUAGUAUUCCAUCAACGAAAAUAAACAUCAUCUUAUGACAACUUUAUUGCUUUCCACAACAUGGGAUCGACAUAUCUACAAAACAAAGAACUUUGAAUAGAAAAGCAAAAGUAGUCAUAAAAAAACUUAGAAGGUCCAACAAAGUCGGCGCUCAAUGUCUGUUGUGUUUGUAUACAAGUGCCCUUGUGGGAAACAAAGUCGGGAUGAGAACGCUCCCGACUUCCCCAGAGUCCUCCGUCUCCAUGGAGGGCGUGGUCAAUGGUGGCCAUGGUAACCGUGGUGGCGGCGGCAGAUGCUGCUGUUAGUGUUUGCUGUGAUCGUCUGGAGGCCUUGACGUUUUUGUGGACAUCCAUUCUGAAGGCCGGAAGAGAAAAGGUCCCUUGGAGGAUACCAAAUAGACUGCCAUUUUCCCCCAGUCGCCGACCAGCCGAGAUUCCUCCCUGACUCAGACGCUCAAAGGACGACACUCGCAGGCGACACCCUGAGAUGGACUCACACAGGAAAUGACAUCAUCGGUGCCCUCGGGUGCGAGAUCAUAGCGAGAUAUUGAUCCGCGGCCUUUAUCGCCGUUUCUGAUGUCUUUCAUGGGGCAGACUUGGAUGCCUAUAGGCGCACCCCCGCGACUUUUGACCUCUGAACAGGGUAACUUCAGCAGAGAGACAGGCAGCCACAGAAGGAGGCCUUUGUUGUUGCCCGGAGAAUCAACCCCAAUCAUGAUGAUGUCGUAGUUUCCAAGGUCACGGUUUCAAACAUGGAUGACACCGCUGUUGACCGAUGUCGGGGGAUUAACGGAGUCUUUAUCGCAAAUGGAUUGGAAACAUUCCCUAUCUGGCACAAAACUCUCUAGUCCAAGAUAACUUCAGGUCAACAACGUACCCAUCCCUGAUUCCAAACAGAGAGUUUCAGAUUCACAGGUUGUGCCAGUCCUGUUAACAGACGUGGAAAACGUGACGGAUGAUCAGACUCCUG
rnacentral:lncRNA from 1 species